AGCAGAGCCCAGCCCCAUGCCUGCUCCUGACAGCAGUCGGAGCAGGCGAGCUGGAACUGCCGUGAGCAGCUUCUCCAACGAGCUGGCUGGUUGAGCUGUCCCCAGCGCGGCCUGUCACUGAGAGUUGCAGGGAAAGAUGGAGGAAGAAACAUGAAGACCCAGCAGGAUUAAACUGGACUUCAAGGCUGAUGUCACUGGCAGAAGUUGUUCUUUUUAUCAUGAGUUAGUCUACAUGGCACCAACCUGCUGGCAACAUACGGGUGGACAAGAACAGAGAGAUGGCCCUGCCACCAUACAGACGGGUUCCAAUACUACCUGACCAGGUGGUAUCAGCAUCCAGUCCUGUGUUGUGCUGUAGUAUUGCCUCAACCCCAGCAAGCUUUGGGCAGGACAGGACUGUGAAGCUGCAGAAACAGCCCU